rnacentral:lncRNA from 1 species
GCUGGAAUAAAAUAAUCUCAGUGUAAACUUGCAUUUCUGUUUUAAUUUUUGAUUUAUUUUUUUUUUUUUUACCAGUGGUAUUAGGAGUGCUCCAUAUUUAUGCCAUAUUUAUGAGAGAUUAAAAAAAAGGGAGAAAAGUAACUGUGGGACUCUGAAGCAAUAUAGAAAACUGAUUUGUCUCAAUAUAGUCACAGUACAAAUUUACAUCAGACUAAGCACCUUAUUCUGCUAAGGAGUUUUGGCAUGUAAGAACUCAUAUGUAGUAUCUUGGUCUGAAAAUACUUUUUAGUGCUCUGUCACUUAUCCUGAUUGAUUCCAAUGAGAGUUUCCUGAAUAAGGAUUUCAAGAUUUGGUGUGCUUACAUUGAAGUCUCCAGCACUGGAAAGGUUUAUACAUUUCCUUUAAAUGUGAGCACUAACCUUCAAGCAGCCUUUUUAAAGUAUUUCAUUUCACUGCUGUACUGACAUGAGUUCCAUUUCAGCGAUGGAAAAGAAUCAUACACUUCUGUGGAGCAUAAAAUGUUAUAACAAAAGAGCUUUGGAGCUACAUGGAGACAAACACAGUAAUUCUUCUGACAAAUCCUAGAUGAUGCUGUAUUCUUUG